rnacentral:rRNA from 1 species
UACGAACCGUGCGAACGUUGUUCGGAUUCACUGGGCUUAAAGGGCGCGUAGGCGGCUCGCCAAGUCAGGGGUGAAAUCUUUCGGCUCAACCGGAAAAGUGCCUUUGAUACUGGCGAGCUAGAGGGAGGUAGGGGUGCGUGGAACUUCUGGUGGAGCGGUGAAAUGCGUAGAUAUCAGAAGGAACGCCGGUGGCGAAAGCGACGCACUGGAUCUCUACUGACGCUGAGGCGCGAAAGCUAGGGGAGCGAACGGG